UGGGGAAUCUUGUGCAAUGGGGGCAACCCUGACACAGCGACGCCGCGUGUGUGAAGAAGGCCUUCGGGUUGUAAAGCACUGUCAGGAGGGAAGAAACCCGGCGAGUCCGGCGUGACGGUACCUCCACAGGAAGCACCGGCCAACUCCGUGCCAGCAGCCGCGGUAAUACGGAGGGUGCCAGCGUUGUUCGGAAUCAUUGGGCGUAAAGCGUAGGUAGGCGGCCAGGCAAGUCUGAUGUGAAAGCCCAGAGCUUAACUCUGGAGGCGCAUUGGAAACUGUUUGGCUUGAGUCCGGGAAGGGCCAGUGGAAUUCGUGGUGUAGGGGUGAAAUCCGUAGAUAUCACGAAGAACACCGGCGGCGAAAGCGACUGGCUGGACCGGAACUGACGCUCAGCUACGAAAGCGUAGGUAGCGAACA
rnacentral:rRNA from 1 species